rnacentral:rRNA from 1 species
GUGAGGAAUUUUCCGCAAUGGGCGAAAGCCUGACGGAGCAAUGCCGCGUGAGUGAUGAAGGCCUUCGGGUCGUAAAGCUCUGUUGCAGGGGAAUAAAAAAAUGAAGGUACCCUGUGAGGAAGGAUCGGCUAACUUCGUGCCAGCAGCCGCGGUAAGACGAGGGAUCCUAGCGUUGCUCGGAAUCAUUGGGCGUAAAGAGGGCGUAGGUGGCUUGGUAAGUCAGGUGUGAAAGCCCAGGGCUCAACCCUGGAAGUGCAUUUGAUACUGCUGAGCUUGAGUGUCGGAGAGGUUACCGGAAUACCUGGUGUAGUGGUGAAAUACGUAGAUAUCAGGUGGAACACCGGAGGCGAAGGCGGGUAACUGGACGAACACUGACACUGAGGCCCGAAAGCGUGGGGAUCAAAUAGGAUUAGAUACCCGUGUAGUCC